rnacentral:rRNA from 1 species
GUGGGGAAUCUUAGACAAUGGGGGAAACCCUGAUCUAGCCAUGCCGCGUGAGCGAUGAAGGCCUUAGGGUUGUAAAGCUCUUUCAGCUGGGAAGAUAAUGACGUUACCAGCAGAAGAAGCCCCGCCUAACUCCGUGCCAGCAGCCGCGUUAAUACGGAGGGGGCUAGGGUUGUUCGGAAUUACUGGGCGUAAAGCGCACGUAGGCGGACUGGAAAGUCAGGGGUGAAAUCCCGGGGCUCAACCACGGAACUGCCUUUGAAACUCCCAGUCUUGAGUUCGAGAGAGGUGAGUGGAAUUCCGAGUGUAGAGGUGAAAUUCGUAGAUAUUCGGAGGAACACCAGUGGCGAAGGCGGCUCACUGGCUCGAUACUGACGCUGAGGUGCGAAAGCGUGGGGAGCAAACAGGAUUAGAAACCCCUGUAGUCC